rnacentral:lncRNA from 1 species
AACAAAAUUCCAUCAAGGGUAAGAGACGCCAACAAAAUGUAUGAACAGAAUUCCAUCAAGCAAAAGUUUAAUUUGAUUAAAGAUGAAGCGCAAUUUAAAGUAUUGAUAUGCAACGCUCGUUUAAUAGAAUCUUAUCCACUAGAUUUAGGGUGAAGAAGACCAACGACAAUAACGUCAAUGGUAAGAGACACCAAUAAAAUGACAAAUAAACAAAUAUUAUUCUCGAUAUACAUAAAGUUCCUUGUGUAGUGAGAAAAACGCCUAUCAAUCAAUUAACCACACAAAGUUAGUUAACUAUUCAAUAUCUAUCAAGCUGCAAUGGAUUGGCACCAAAAGUGGAUGGAUAGAGCUCGGAUCACGAGCCUAUAAUCACACAGCACCACACAAAUUGGACCAAGAUUACCCACUCAAAUGGAUUACAAUAGAAGACCACUCACAGAGGCGAUCGAAUAGGGGCAAAACAGAGCAGCAACAGGGGGUAAAAACACACACAGACAGAGGUACAAUCCUGGCCAAGUGCCGACGGUAAGGAGCAAAGAAGGCAAUCACAAAGAGGCAGAAAAAAAAGAUAGCCACGAAGUAAGAGCCAAGGAAGAAAAAAGGCGCAACCAAGUCUAAAUAAUAAUGCGGAGGAAGUUGUGUAUUGUAUCAGAGCACAAAGGACACAAACCUAUAUAUAUGUAAUAAUAAUAGGUCAAGUAAUGGGUCGAGCCUGUUUAGUGGUCUUUGUCCUUCACUGUAAUUUCGGCUACCAAGUGUGAUUUCUGGCCUAAUAGUAAUUGAGUGCAUUCCAUUAUGAGUUUCCAAUGAAACUAAUUGAAUAUAGUAUCCAACCGAAUUAUUCAUUAUCGUCUCAAGGUUUAUUUGAUAUCAAAAUAUCGAAAACCUUGUAUGAAAAUUUUAUCAUUCAAAU